rnacentral:sRNA from 1 species
CUUCUUCGGCCUGUUGUGGGCAGAUAAAGUGGAUAUGGGUAUCCACCCCACCGGCGGUGACCAGCUUGCCUUCACCGGCCACCACUUCGGUUGCCGGGCCAACCACUAUGUUGACACCAUCCUGCACAUCCGGGUUACCGGCCUUGCCUAUGGCCUGAAUGCGGCCGUCUUUAAUGCCUAUGUCUGCCUUGACUAUGCCCCAGUAAUCCAAGAUCAGGGCGUUGGUGAUCACCAAGUCGACACAGUCGGCCGCCAGUGCCUGGCUCUGACCCAUGCCAUCGCGGAU